rnacentral:rRNA from 1 species
AACGAACGCUGGCGGCAGGCCUAACACAUGCAAGUCGAGCGCGCUCUUCGGAGUGAGCGGCGGACGGGUUAGUAACGCGUGGGAACGUACCCAGAUCUACGGAAUAGCCUCGGGAAACUGAGAGUAAUACCGUAUACGCCCUUCGGGGGAAAGGUUUAUCGGAUUUGGAUCGGCCCGCGUUAGAUUAGAUAGUUGGUGAGGUAACGGCUCACCAAGUCUACGAUCUAUAGCUGGUUUUAGAGGAUGAUCAGCAACACUGGGACUGAGACACGGCCCAGACUCCUACGGGAGGCAGCAGUGGGGAAUCUUGGACAAUGGGCGCAAGCCUGAUCCAGCCAUGCCGCGUGAGUGAUGAAGGCCUUAGGGUCGUAAGGCUCUUUCGCCAGAGAUGAUAAUGACAGUAUCUGGUAAAGAAACCCCGGCUAACUCCGUGCCAGCAGCCGCGGUAAUACGGAGGGGGUUAGCGUUGUUCGGAAUUACUGGGCGUAAAGCGCGCGUAGGCGGACCAGAAAGUUAGGGGUGAAAUCCCGGGGCUCGACCCCGGAACUGCCUCUAAAACUCCUGAUCUAGAGUUCGAGAGAGGUGAGUGGAAUUCCGAGUGUAGAGGUGAAAUUCGUAGAUAUUCGGAGGAACACCAGUGGCGAAGGCGGCUCACUGGCUCGAUACUGACGCUGAGGUGCGAAAGUGUGGGGAGCAAACAGGAUUAGAUACCCUGGUAGUCCACACCGUAAACGAUGAAUGCCAGUCGUCGGGUAGCAUGCUAUUCGGUGACACACCUAACGGAUUAAGCAUUCCCCCUG